rnacentral:rRNA from 1 species
AGAGGGUGCGAGCGUUAAUCGGAAUUACUGGGCGUAAAGCGCACGUAGGCGGCUAUGUAAGUCAGGUGUGAAAUCCCCGGGCUCAACCUGGGAACUGCAUCCGAAACUGCCUUGCUAGAGUAUGGGAGAGGGAAGUGGAAUUUCCGGUGUAGCGGUGAAAUGCGUAGAUAUCGGAAGGAACAUCAGUGGCGAAGGCGACUUCCUGGACCAAUACUGACGCUCAGGUGCGAAAGCGUGGGGAGCAAACAGGAUUAGAUACCCUGGUAGUCCACGCCCUAAACGAUGUCAACUAGUUGUCGGGAGGGUAACCCUCUUGGUAACGCAGCUAACGCGUGAAGUUGCCCGCCUGGGGAGUACGGUCGCAAGAUUA